rnacentral:rRNA from 1 species
CCUACGGGUGGCAGCAGUGAGGAAUAUUGGUCAAUGGACGCAAGUCUGAACCAGCCAUGCCGCGUGCAGGAAGACGGCUCUAUGAGUUGUAAACUGCUUUUGUACGAGGGUAAACGCAGAUACGCGUAUCUGUCUGAAAGUAUCGUACGAAUAAGGAUCGGCUAACUCCGUGCCAGCAGCCGCGGUAAUACGGAGGAUUCAAGCGUUAUCCGGAUUUAUUGGGUUUAAAGGGUGCGUAGGCGGUCUGUUAAGUUAGUGGUGAAAUCCCGAGGCUCAACUUCGGAAUUGCCACUGAUACUGGUCGGCUUGAGAGUAGUUGCGGUAGGCGGAAUGUAUGGUGUAGCGGUGAAAUGCUUAGAGAUCAUACAGAACACCGAUUGCGAAGGCAGCUUACCAAGCUACUUCUGACGUUGAGGCACGAAAGCGUGGGGAGCAAACAGGAUUAGAUACCCUAGUAGUC